rnacentral:lncRNA from 1 species
CGUUCCCGGGGAAGAACUGCUAAAACAUGAGACCAAGGCACAGACCUUACUGUAUGAGAAGCAAUGCUCCUCAAACCUUCUGCGUGCUGACAUAGACCUUCCCAGAAGCAAAACUGUUGGCGGCGACCUGAGCGCUGGAAGCCGAAGGGGAAGAGGAAGGAGACGCGAAGCCAGGGCGGCCGGCACAAAGGCGGCGGACUCGCGGCGGCAGCGCCUGCCCGGCCGGGAGCACAACCCGCGGCCCUACUCCAGCGAAGUCCCGCACCGGCUUCUAGGAAUAAAGUUUACGUUCUCCUGAGGCCGCACCCCCCACCUCCCACCCAGGACGGCACAUCUCCGUGUCCUCCUCCCCCAAACUCCACUCGGGACCCCGAGAACCACCCCAGCCUUCCGGCCACCACAACAAAGAGCCGCACCGACCGGCGAGGAUAAACAGCGGCGGAGGGCGAGAGGGCGGCGGGGCGAGCGCCUCCACGCAGCAACUCCGGAGUCCCUCGCUUGCCCGAGCGCAGCUUCUCCGCUGCUGUUUCCACCGGCUUUGUAACACUGGGAAUUUACAUCCUCACCCGCACCCCUCACGCCCGAGGAUUUUAAACUCACCUUUACUCUCGAACUGAGAGUUGCGGUAGAUGGGAUUUUUGCCUUUUCCCCAGAUGGUUGAAGGUUAAGAUUUUUGGAAACCCCACCACCUCCUGAUUUCUAUUAUUAUUUCUGCAAGAAAAGUAUAAAGAGAGUUGUAGUGGAGGUGAGAUUUGUGAUCGGGAAAGCCUUCGACUCCCUCCUUCUCCGUCUUCCGCCUCUCUCUCUCUGAUUAGUUCCUAUCCAGCAGCAGAUUGAAGCAGGAGAUGAUUCUUCUCAAGGUUUGUUCAGCAGCUUCACUUCUAGGCGAAGGCUUCAUGAACCAAGUGACGUCAACCAACAAGGCUUCUCUCUCUCUCCUCUCUCUAACAAUGAAAGUUGCUGUUAACAAGGGAAAAAAAGAGAGAGAAUUGUUUAUACCAUUUCAGUUCCAAUAAUAAAUGACCUAUCAGCUCCUAAAGGAGCCAAGGGAGGGGGUUGCUGCUUCUUUCCAAGAAUACUGUAGCUUUGAGUUUGCACCGUUCCUUGUCCCAGGAAAAAGUUAAGAAACUUAAAAUGUUUUGUUUGGCUUUUAAAGAAGACAGGACAGAAAACGGGAUUUAAAACUUAGUUUUUAAAAAAACAAAAGCUACAGAGUAGGGAGCAUAGGUCAACCAUCUCCACCUAAACUUUUUUUGUUCCUAAACUCAGAAUUCUACAACCCAACUAAAUUAAUAUGCCAAGAUUUUGCGGAUGUUAAAACUCAAAAAAAGCAGUAUGCAAGACGGUCCCGGGGUAAAAUUCUACUGCCUUUCCAC